UGGGGAAUUUUGGACAAUGGGCGCAAGCCUGAUCCAGCCAUUCCGCGUGCAGGAUGAAGGCCCUCGGGUUGUAAACUGCUUUUGUACGGAACGAAAAGGCCUUUUCUAAUACAGAGGGCUCAUGACGGUACCGUAAGAAUAAGCACCGGCUAACUACGUGCCAGCAGCCGCGGUAAUACGUAGGGUGCAAGCGUUAAUCGGAAUUACUGGGCGUAAAGCGUGCGCAGGCGGUGAUGUAAGACAGGUGUGAAAUCCCCGGGCUUAACCUGGGAACUGCAUUUGUGACUGCAUCGCUGGAGUGCGGCAGAGGGGGAUGGAAUUCCGCGUGUAGCAGUGAAAUGCGUAGAUAUGCGGAGGAACACCGAUGGCGAAGGCAAUCCCCUGGGCCUGCACUGACGCUCAUGCACGAAAGCGUGGGGAGCAAACA
rnacentral:rRNA from 1 species